rnacentral:rRNA from 1 species
AGUUUGAUCCUGGCUCAGAACGAACGCUGGCGGCGCGCCUAACACAUGCAAGUCGAGCGAUUAAACUUCCUUCGGGAAGAUAUAAAGCGGCGGACGGGUGAGUAAGGCAUAGAUAAUCUGCUUCAAAGUGGGGGAUAGCCUGGGGAAACCCGGGUUAAUACCGCGUAAGCUGGCUCGGUGAAUGCGAGUUAGUAAAGGCUUCGGUCGCUUUGAAAUGAGUCUAUGUAUGAUUAGCUAGUUGGAGAGGUAAGAGCUCCCCAAGGCUUCGAUCAUUAACUGGUCUGAGAGGAUGAUCAGUCACACUGGAACUGAGACACGGUCCAGACUCCUACGGGAGGCAGCAGUGAGGAAUUUUGCGCAAUGGGCGAAAGCCUGACGCAGCGACGCCGCGUGGAGGAUGAAGUCUUUCGAGAUGUAAACUUCUGUCAGUGGGGAUGAUAAUGACAGUACCCACAGAGGAAGCACCGGCUAACUCCGUGCCAGCAGCCGCGGUAAUACGGAGGGUGCAAGCGUUGUUCGGAAUUACUGGGCGUAAAGCGUACGUAGGCGGCGAUUUAAGUCGAAUGUUAAAGCCCGGGGCUCAACCCCGUGGAUGCCUUC